rnacentral:rRNA from 1 species
GUAAGCUGCUGUAGCCAACAUGACAUGAGCUCAGAAACUUAGCAGAGUGAGGUCUGGUUAGUACUUGGAUGGGAGACUACCUGAGUAUACAAGGAGCUGUAAACU